GUGUGAUGUGUGCUGAUGUGUGGGACGCAGCUGGAUCCGUUCAGAACCUUUAAGAGAAAGCAGAGCGGGCGGAACACCGAGCUGGAACCGGAGCUUGGAGCGUAAAGUGUGAUGAAUGAAGCCGAGCUGCUGAAGCUGAGCUCGGCUGCUUUUUCCUCCCAGAGACGGAGCCAGCAGCGUCCAGGAGCCGCUGAGGACCCAGAGACAGGGGGCCAGACAGGGGCCCCGCUCGGUGAGUCCCUCUGCUGCACACAGGGCCCCUCAGCGGCAUCCUGUCCGCUAACUGCGCUCAGUUGAAGCCACGCUUCAGGCUGGAUUACAUGAACCGGACCAGCUGCUCUCAUGGACCCGCUUCUAACCCGGUUCUGACCCGUUCUGGCCCGGUUCUGACUCUCAUCAAAGCCCAGUAGAGGUCUGGAAUGUGACGUCAUCCUUAAAACAUCGCGGUUUAGGACGCGGAGACUUCAAGUAGAGUCUGGUAUCCAGUUAGAAGAAGUUGGGCCAGGGUGACGGCUGGUUGUCUGAGCAGCGAACAAGCGGCUCUCACUCUCACUUGUGAAACCUGAUCAGCUUUUCACCUGCAAAAGAUUUUUCCACAACAUCAUGUCUGUUGCUAAGCAAGAAGUUCUUGGUCAUCAUUUUACGGUCAGCCAAAAUGAGAUCUCUGUUCUGUACCAGAGGGAAACAGAACCUCUAAAAACCAAAAGGACCGAAGAGGAACUAGAACCUACACAAGUAAAAGAAGAAGAGUAUGGAUCAGAGCUUCUGCAGAUUGUGAUGAAAGAAGACCACAUAGAACUGGGGCAAGAGGGUGAUAGAUGGACAGUUUCUGGACCUCUUGAAAUCAAAGAAGAAUCAGAGGAACUAGAACUGAUCGAAAUGAAGAAAGAUGACCAUGAAUCAGAAUCUCAGUCGGCGGUAAAGACUGAGGUUGAAGGUAUCAAUAACGAUGAAAACCAGGAUGUACUGAAGCAGGAAACUAAGACAUUAAUGGGAACAGAUUGUGGAUCUCCUGAAAUCAAAAAGGAAUCAGAAGAACUCGACCCCAAAGAAGUGAAGGAAGAGGAGCAUGGAUCAGGACCUCCACAG